AAAUAUUAAAUUAUUCAAUAAUUAUUAUACAUCCUCCAAGUGUGCUCUAAGUGGUUAUAAAUCAUGUUUUUUCAAUCCUCUAUGACCCUCACAACGAUUCCAGUGCCUCGCAAAAUAUGUAUUUUAUUUUUUUGUUUUUUUUUGUGUAUGUUCUAGUGCCUCAUGAUAUCAUUUUUCUUAUUAUUUUUUUGUAUGUUAAUAUAUAUCCAAUUCUGUUUCUCCGUGGUUUUCCCACUCAUCACCCUCCGUUCCUGAGAAACAUAUAUUCUAGUGCCCAUGAACUAUUUAUAAUUAUAUCUUUAUGCUUUUUUUUAAAAAAAGGUUUUUUAUAUUUAUAUUGUAUUUAUCCAUGUGUAUUUUUAUAUAUAAAGGAUCCACGAAUACCACGAAUUCUGGUGCUCAUGAAGUAUGCAUCAAUACUUCAAAAAAAAUAUACACACAUAUAUAUAUAUGUAUAUAUAUAUAUUUUCUUCAAAAAACCGUAUGUCUAUUUAUUUAGAUCAAUAGUCAUAGUGCUCAAUGAUAAAGUAGAGCAUAUUGCAAAUGCCCAUAGAGUACAGUACGGCUGAGUGUCCACUAGAGGUCAGGAGAAGAGAGGGCUCAGAGAGGGAGGCUCAGGCUGGGUUAGGAAAGAAGAGGAUUUCCCAGACUAGGACCCUAUGGGUCCCAAUCUGGGUUGUGCACGGUCCAUCACUCCACUGGUCACCCCCAAAUCACACAAAGACCAAGAGAGGUCACAGCAGCCGAACUGUUAAGGGCUAUUCAUAGGGCUGUUGAGGCCAGGGCUGUUAAGUUUAGGGCUGUUGAGGCCAGGGCUGUUAAGUUCAGGUCUGUUUGAGUUUAGGUCUGGUUAAGUUUAGAUUUGGUUAAGUUUAGGUCUGGUUAAGUUUAGGUUUGGUUAAGUUUAGGUCUGGUUAAGUUUAGGUUUGUCCAGGAUGGGUGUGUAAAAUUCCAGUCCAAAUCCCGGAGUGUCUGGUAGGUUUAGGUUUUAGUAUGAUGAGUUGGUUUUGGUUUAGUUUUAUGCUGAG
ensembl:lncRNA